rnacentral:rRNA from 1 species
UACGUAGGGUGCGAGCGUUAAUCGGAAUUACUGGGCGUAAAGCGUGCGCAGGCGGUUUUGUAAGCCAGAUGUGAAAUCCCCGGGCUUAACCUGGGAAUGGCAUUUGGGACUGCAAGGCUCGAGUGCGGCAGAGGAGACUGGAAUUCCUGGUGUAGCAGUGAAAUGCGUAGAUAUCGAGAGGAACACCUGCGGCGAAGGCGGGUUGCUGGGCUGACACUGACGCUGAUGCGCGAAAGCCAGGGGAGCGAACGGG